CCUACGGGAGGCAGCAGUGAGGAAUAUUGGUCAAUGGGCGCGAGCCUGAACCAGCCAAGUCGCGUGAGGGAGGACGGUCCUAUGGAUUGUAAACCUCUUUUGUCGGGGAGCACAAGACGCCCCGCGUGGCGUUACGAGAGUACCCGAAGAAAAAGCAUCGGCUAACUCCGUGCCAGCAGCCGCGGUACUACGGAGGAUGCGAGCGUUAUCCGGAUUUAUUGGGUUUAAAGGGUGCGCAGGCGGAAGAUCAAGUCAGCGGUAAAAUUGAGAGGCUCAACCUCUUCGAGCCGUUGAAACUGGUUGUCUUGAGUGAACGAGAAGUAUGCGGAAUGCGUGGUGUAGCGGUGAAAUGCAUAGAUAUCACGCAGAACUCCGAUUGCGAAGGCAGCAUACCGGCGCUCAACUGACGCUCAUGCACGAAAGUGUGGGUAUCGAACAGGAUUAGAUACCCGAGUAGUC
rnacentral:rRNA from 1 species